UAUUGGCGGGCUCCCGCAAAUGGACCGAAAAGAGAGCUUCCACAGUUGAUGGGUUCACGAUCAAGAAGAGCAGUGGGAAACCACCAGCGCGAAGUGCGAGGCUUGGCGAGAGGAUCGGGCGGGACUCGUCUACCAUCGUCUUCCAGCUUCUCCCGCAGCCUCUUGAAUUAUUUUCGUAGGUGUAGGAAGUGCAAAAGAGGAGUGGUCUCGCAAGAAGCUUAUCGGUGCGUGACGCGAUUUGGUAGCGUUUAUGAACGCUAUCUGCAGCGAGUGUGAUCAACGCCUAUGUGAUGCUCCCAAUGUCAACAUGCUCUAAACAACCAGCUUGUUCUUCAUAAAGUGACACAUUCCAAGUUUGUGUGUGAAAUCUGAAGAAGAAGGUACAGUUUACAAAAUGUCAAAGGACGUAGAGGUCAAUAUUGGACGGAAAAUAUUGCAUCAUGAGCUCCUGCCGUUUACAUUUUGCCGGAUAUGUGGUGUUUCAUUGAGCACAUUGCUGCAUCUUACAGUUGUUUUGUAUGUUCGCUACUCAUCUUUGUAGUGGUUUGCUUUGUGCUUAAUAUUGUUUGACCUUUUUUAUAUGGCCAUGUUUUUCUUUCCUCUAUGUUCGUGUACAUCUUAAGGCAGUAGAAGACCUAUCCAGAUGGCCAUCAUAUGACCGCUGAUUGCCUCCACGCCUAGGGAAAUAUUCUCAUCUGUAUAUUGGUUAUUGAAUUCUCUGACUUUCUUACCUAUCACAUUGGUCUAGAGUGUGCAUCCAUUUUUGCAGGCUGAUGUUCCUCCACCUUUGAGGAGGAAAUGCCAUGUUUUCAUUGAUGUUUUGGUCAUUUUAUUUCAUAUGUAUUUUUUAUAAAAGUGAUUUUUUUCCUAGACUGCUAUUAAUAUUCUGACCUUCAAAAUUUCCUGUCCUUUGCACGUUCUGAAUUAACACUAAAUAAA